AUCAAGAAGGAUUCUUUGGGAGUGUGAGAAGAUGGCAAGCCAAUUAAUCUCACUUGUGAAUGAGCGGAAGACUGUUCUAGCUGUGUGCACCGGGAUGAAAACAUGUGAAGAACUUGGCAAGGCUAUUAGGAGUCACCACCAAGUUGGAUUUGCUUAUCUACCUUGCAGGUGAUCUGGUAAGUUCAGACUGAUAAAAAUCAAUAUCGCCAAGGCUGUAGUGCAUAUGAACCCUGUCAUUUGGUGAUUAAGGAUUUGUUUUUGGUAUCCAUGUAAAAAUCUUCUGACCAGCUAGUUAGGGCCAGAUGUUCGAUUGAUCAAGAUUUUUCAUUGAUGUGCUAAUUGUGUUGCUGUUCAUAUUCUCUCUAGUUUAGAGCUUCAACUCGUACCCAUCUUGUACAUGCAUUGCAGUGCCUUAAGCAAUUUAUCAUUUUAUCCAUA